UACGGAAGGGGCUAGCGUUGUUCGGAUUUACUGGGCGUAAAGCGCGCGUAGGCGGCCGUGCGAGUGAGGCGUGAAAGCCCCGGGCUCAACCUGGGAACCGCGCUUCAGACUGCACGGCUCGAGUCCGGGAGAGGGUGGUGGAAUUCCCAGUGUAGAGGUGAAAUUCGUAGAUAUUGGGAAGAACACCGGUGGCGAAGGCGGCCACCUGGCCCGGUACUGACGCUAGAGCGCGAAAGCGUGGGGAGCAAACAGG
rnacentral:rRNA from 1 species